rnacentral:rRNA from 1 species
UACGAACUGCGCAAACGUUAUUCGGAAUCACUGGGCUUACAGGGUGCGUAGGCGGCCCAUCAGGUCAGAUGUGAAAUCCCACAGCUCAACUGUGGAACUGCAUUUGAAACCGGCGGGCUUGAGUGAGCUAGAGGUAUACGGAACUUCCGGUGGAGCGGUGAUAUGUGUUGAUAUCGGAAGGAACACCAGAGGCGAAAGCG